rnacentral:rRNA from 1 species
UAGGGAAUCUUCCACAAUGGACGCAAGUCUGAUGGAGCAACGCCGCGUGAGUGAAGAAGGUCUUCGGAUCGUAAAACUCUGUUGUUAGAGAAGAACACGAGUGAGAGUAACUGUUCAUUCGAUGACGGUAUCUAACCAGCGAGUCACGGCUAACUACGUGCCAG